rnacentral:rRNA from 1 species
GAGGUAGAUAGGCUGGGGGUGGAAGUGCAGCAAUGCAUGGAGCUGACCAGUACUAAUCGGUCGAGGGCUUAUCCAA